rnacentral:rRNA from 1 species
UGCAUAUCAAUAAGCGCGGAGGAAAAGAAACCAACAGGGAUUGCCUCAGUAGCGGCGAGUGAAGCGGCAAGAGCUCAGAUUUGAAAUCGUGCUUUGCGGCACGAGUUGUAGAUUGCAGGUUGGAGUCUGUGUGGAAGGCGGUGUCCAAGUCCCUUGGAACAGGGCGCCCAGGAGGGUGAGAGCCCCGUGGGAUGCCGGCGGAAGCAGUGAGGCCCUUCUGACGAGUCGAGUUGUUUGGGAAUA